UGGGGCUCUGCUGCUGCCCGGGCUGCGGAGGGGAGAGCGCCUUGGCCGCUGGUUGUGCCCUCCCUGGGGCUCAGCUCAGGUCCGUGCCCCGCGGCUGGUGGAGUGUGGCGAGUUGUGCUUCCUGCCGGGCGGGAGCUGCCUUGGGAAGCUGCUCUGUCCCCACGGCUGUGCCGAGCUGGGAGCUUGGACAGGGAAGGGCAGGGCCCGUCCUGCCGGGACACUGAGCUGGUCCAGCUGCGGCAAGAAGAGCCCUGAUGCCUGAGUGCUCUCCAUCCCCCUAGGCUGGAUCCCAACUGUCAGCCCCUGGCUCCAUCCCUUGAGAAGAUGGUGUUCCUGCAAGCCCAGCUGCUGUGCUGGUGGUCCUGUGGGUACCUCCUGCCCUGGCCUGCUGUGACUGUGGUUGUGUUGCAGCUCAAUAAAGUCCCUUUCAGUGGUGA